UUAUGAGCCAUUACCUAAGCUCUGGGAGUCUGUUACGCGGGAACCAGUGUGUUUGCUCUACAGUUCUGCUGAUGCUCUGUGAUCUUGGCUUGUCUUAGGCAGUCACCAUUCUAGCUAUCUUAUUACAUGUGUCAAACUGUGUAUCUUGAUUUGGUGCUCUUGGAGGACAAAUGGAACAAAACCUCUUCGUAUUCAGAUCCUGAGAACAGACUGAGCUUGCCAUCAGUAGGGGAUGCGGCUUGAGGAUGAUCAUGUGGCUUGAGGAUGACGAUGGAAAUGCAGAGUCUCCAGUGAAGGGAAGAAGAUGGGGAGUCAGCACCUAACACAGUGUCUGAAAUUUACUAGAAAACUUGGUAUGCAAUGUCUAGCAAGAUUUUUUAUCCUGUGUAAUUAAAAAAGAAGGAGGCUUUAAGCAAAAAUCCAGAGAUCUUUGGUGUGCUCAAAUGGAUCAACCUUCUGACUGUCCCGGAUGCAGAAACAAAGUGCCAGGCAGAACCUGACUGUGGCCUGAAGGAUGGAGGGAGGCACAUGUCCAGUUAGUGUAAAGGGAAAGCCGCCCCCCCCCCCACCUUAUCACGAACAUGACCUGGCCACACAUUUGGAAUGCCUCGGUAAUCUGAGAAGAAAACAACUAUAGGCUAAAAGAGAGCCUGCAUGCUUCUUAGGAAGGCAAAAUGGUAAUAACCGACAUUUAUCGAACACUGGUGAGCUGCCGGGAACCCUCCAAGGCUCCUACAUGUGGUUUAUGGUGUAAUUCUUGUAAUCCUUUGAGGUAAAUGCUGUAAGUUUUCCUAAAGAAAAGGAAACCACAACAGAGAAAAGUAAAAGUAAAUUUUUCAAGAUCAUAUAAACAGUAAUUGAUGAACCUGUUACUCAACCCGAAGUGCAUAUUCUUCUAUGCUGGUUUUUCACUCUUUUGCUUAUGAGACACAGCCUCAAAGAGAACUAAGAGUGUUGGUUAGAUUGCUUGCAUACUAGUUGAAAGUUUUUAUUACUUUAUAUGAGAAUUCUCUGUGAUAUAUUAAUUGUUUUCACAAUGAAUCAAAAUGGGAAGGUUAAAUAAUAUAUAUAUUUUUUAUCCUCUGAUGGGUAAAGACAUAUGUGACUAUUUUAUAAUACCAGUUAGCCAUCCUGUAAUUCUUAGUAUGCACAAAGGGCUAUGUUGAGCCCUUUGUAAGAAUUAUGGCAUUUAAGCUCACAGUGAUUCAAUGAAGUAGGCAUUAUAACUCUCCUCAUUAUAUAAAUGAGAAAACUGUGGUACAGAAAAUUAAAGUGAUUUGUCUUAGUCACAUAGUGACAAAGCUGGGCACCAACAGAAAUCUGCCUGAUUCGAAGCCAGUGUACUUAGCUACUAUGCUCUACUGACUGCAUUGCAUAAUGAUUUGAAUUACAAUUCUUUCAAUAAAACCAGCUUUGAUAUUCAAAAGGAUAAAUACUUAUCUAUGUAACAAAAUUAUAUGGCAUAUCAAAUUUAUUUUUGAUGACCCUGGAUAAGUGAUUCUAAAUCAUAUAUUUUACAUAUUAAAAGAUACAUGGAAAGGCUUUUGAUUUUGAGAUAGAAAAAUUCAUCACAACUUUUAGACUAUGUAAAUGUAGUAAUCCUAUAUACCACAUGUUGUGGGAGGACCAUUUUGUUUGGAGCAAACUUUGCAUCUAGAAUAAAAUCAAAACUAUUUAUUUUUGGAAAAAAAAAUCUGUUUAUUUUUUUCAAUUCUUAGUCUGUCCUAAUGCAACAGGGUUCUCAUCAAGGCUUUGAAUCUGGUAAACUGGGCAAGAGGAUAGAAAGAAUCCCCAAAGUCAGGCUUACCCUUUGAUGAGUCACGCUGGGCUUGGCUGGGUGGGGCUCCUGUUGUUUUUACCUCCACACCUAUUUGUGACCUUUAAAUGCCUCAUGUUCUAUAAAGCAGAGCCUCAGAAUCUGACAGCUGAUCUACCAGCUUCCCAAACUCGCCGGAAGCAUCUAUCAGAACCCCAGUAGUCCUUUUCCUGUGUUUAAACAGGUGAUCUUCAAAAGCUUAAUUUUAUAUUGACUGUUAUCUUUAUAUUCAGAGUUGCCUUUUUAGAAGAAAUUCUGAAAAGUUUGCAGAACUUGUCCAUGUGGAUGAGUUUUGUUAAGGAAUGUAUUUGUAACACUGACUUCCAUUUCCUUAAUAUGCACCCUUAGUGUUAAUUAACAUUCUGAAGUCAACCGGCUUCACGUUGUUCACUGAUGGAGACAUGAGUCACCUGUUCCAGAAGGACCAGAUUGUUGGGUAUAGCGAUGCUGGCUUUGCUUAAGUGUGAGGAAGGACUAAUUUAAAAAUGAAGCAAAGUGAGCUUUCAUAGUAUUUGAGUAAGCUUCAGUUCUAGCAACAGGUUUGGGUAAUGUAUUUGGUUGUUUUUACCUUAUUUGCAUAUUUUAAAAUUUUUUAUGGUAAUUUUCUUUUCAUAUAACAAAUGACAAGGAUUUUUACCAGGUGGUGUUGCAAAAGAUGACAGGGCUGUAAUGAGGAGUCUUAGGCUGUGGGGUGUGCAAGGUAAACUGCCAUUUUUGUCACUCCUCCACAGUCUCUAGAAAAGCAUUCAUUGCUCUCUAUUGUUUGCGUGUUUCUGGGUUCUUUAUAGGGAACUCGAAGACGCAGUUUGGGUUGCCGCAGAAUGCAAAUAGGUACUAUACAUUCCAAUGGUCAGAACUGGAUCAGGGGUUGACACCUGACUUAAAGGUUAUCUGGAAUGAGACACCAUGGUUUCUUUGCUUUUUUGUUGAUAGGAGCCAAAUUAAAUUCAUUUUAAUUUAAUUUAGUUAAUUUAACUCAAUAAGCUAUUAAUUGAAUACCUAUGGAAUGCCAAAUACAAGCUCACAUUGUGGCAGAGGAGACAGAUGAUUACAGAGCUAAUGCGAAUGUACCAUAAUGAAUGCUAACCUAGGAGGACCAAAUACAUAGAAGAAGCGUUUAAAAGAAGAAGACAUUAAGAUUCAAAGAUGAUAUGGAAAUCAGUGAGAUGGAAAAGUGGGAAGAGGGAUGAGCAUAUGCAGAAUUGCAGAGUGCAUGGGAGAUGUAGAGAGUGAUGACCAGUCUGGGGCAAAGUGUGAAUGGAAAGAGAUGAGGUUAGAGAGUGAGGUGGCCAGUACUGAUGGGGUUGUAGUCUGUGAGAUUCACUAAAGCACUUUUAGCAAGGGAAUGAUAAAAUGAGGUCUAUGUUUUAGAAAUAUCACUCCGGAGGCCAUUUGAAAAUGAAUUGUGGGGAGUAGGUAUUAGAGAGGAACAAAGAAAGAAGUGAAUUGGCCAACUACUCUUUGUGUUAGUUUUCUAUGUUGCAGUCUCCUGCUGUUCCCUCUUCAUUUCUUAAUCCCAUGGCCACCUCCCCCAACUCUAACCACUCCCCUCGCCCCAACUAUCUUCCUUUGCUGACUUACACCCAUCAUUCAGGUUUCCGUUUAUAAGUUACCUCUACAAGAAAGUCUUUCAUGAUCACCAAGUCUAUAUCAAGUUUGUCCAUGUGUGUACACAAACACACACACACACAAACACACAUAUACAUAUAUUAGAUUGACAGAUUAUUAACAUAAUUCUUCCUCUGUAGACUUAAAGCUCCAUGAAGAGUGAAGAGAUAACUAAUUUUUCUUUUUGUUUGCUCACUGAUGCAUUUUUAGCAGCAUCUGUCAAAAAGUGGAUAUUUAAUAAAUAUUUGGUGAAAAGAUGAAUGCAUAAAGUCUAAGUUAAUAUUUUUAAUUUCUUUUAAGAGUUUCUUUGAAAAAUGCUUUUAAGUAAUCCUAGUGAUGGUCUUGCAUCACUUAAAAAGCCAGAAAAAAGCAAAAGAGAAAACAUAAGAAAAUAAGCAAAACAAACACCAUUCUACUUGCAUUCUUUGGAAAUUAGCAUGGGUCAUUGUGAUAGAUAGUCUUGGCCCCUAAAUCUCUGAUUGAUUUGUAAUACCAGAGAACAGCUCAAAACUGGCUUGACUCUAUUUUUUCUUUCUCCUUCUUUGCACAUAAUAUAUAGUUAGAUUAUACAUGUAUAAUUUUAGUCUGCUAUAAUGCAAUAAAAUAUUGAUUAAUUUCAAAUCAACUUUACUGAACAUAUUAGUAUAUCAGUUCUAUACAAGAUGCUGUGAAAAGCAUAGCAAAUUCUUCCGCAGGAUAUAAGCUCUAAGAGGGCAAGACUAAGUCUACUCUAUUCAACAUUGCAUUCUCCAAGGCAGAACACUGACACUGACAAAAUAGGCAUUAAUAGAUAUUUGUUGAUUGGAUAGAUGCACAAAUGGAUUACAAAGAUUUACAAGGCACAUUCUCUACUCUUUAAGAAACUUUUGAUGUAACAGUGGAAUAAGAUAAAUUUUAGGUCCUAGACCUGAGAUCAAACCAUAGAGAAAGAAAAACAUCAGAGAUGUCAACUAAUGUAUGGCAACUUGCACAACUUUGCCAGCCACAUUUUACCAGCCAUGUUUUACAGGCCUGUCCUUUGGUAGGAAACAGUUGGAGAGCAGUCCCAAUCCAGGGCAGCUCUCAAUGUCUUAAACAAAACAGACAUCUAGUGGAACAGAACAGAGAACCCAGAGAUAAAACCAUCCACCUACAGACAACUUUGACAAAGCAGACAACAAUAUACACUGGGGAAAAGAAGCUCUAUUUAAUAAUGGUGCUGGGAAAAUUGG